UAACUGAAGAGUUUGAUCAUGGCUCAGAUUGAACGCUGGCGGCAGGCUUAACACAUGCAAGUCGAGCGGGGGAAGGUAGCUUGCUACUGGACCUA
rnacentral:rRNA from 1 species